GGUUGUGUAGUGUAGCGGUUAUCACUCCAGAUUCUGAUGGCAUCUUGGAGUUCUGGCAACCCCGGUUCGAUUCCGGGCACGACCU